GUACACGCUGUGACUAGCAUAUCAAUAAGCGGAGGAAAAGAAACUAACAAGGAUUCCCCUAGUAACGGCGAGUGAAGCGGGAAGAGCUCAAAUUUGAAAUCUUAAAGGGUUUCCCUUUACGAAUUGUAGUUUAAAGAAGUGUUUUCUGUUGAGGUUUUGGUAAAAGUUCUUUGGAAUAGGACAUCAUAGAGGGUGAGAAUCCCGUAUUUGACCUUUACUUUCAACUUUGUGAUACACUUUCAAAGAGUCGGAUUGUUUGGGAAUGCAGUCCAAAAUGGGUGGUAAAUUUCAUCUAAAGCUAAAUAUUGGCGAGAGACCGAUAGCGAACAAGUACCGUGAGGGAAAGAUGAAAAGAACUUUGAAAAGAGAGUUAAACAGUACGUGAAAUUGUCAAAAGGGAAGCGUUUGACACCAGUGUUGUUUUUCUGAAAAUCAGUUAAAGAACUGUUUAUGCUAAGCUGUUUAGACUUUAUCAGCUAUCUGUUUAGUUUUGAGCUUUUCUUUAAUGCACUUUUCAGUUAACAAGUCAACAUCAAUUUCUUUUGCUGUAAAAAAGCUUGAGGAAGGUGGCUUGAGAUUCGUCUUAAGUGUUUAUAGCCUCUUGCCUAUGCAGUCGGAGAGAUUGAGGUCUGCAGCGUAGAUCCUUCGGGGCUAAAUGCAUUUGUGCUAAGUUAUAACAUUUUAUAGACAACUUGUUGACUAUGAUUUGUCUUGUAGCUUACUCGCUUAUGUUAUUUUACCUACGCUUAGGAUGUUGAUAUGCAUGACUGAUAU
rnacentral:rRNA from 1 species